GUGUUCGCUUCAGCAUCACAUAUACUAUAAUUGGAAUGAUACAGAGAUUGACAUGGCCUCUGCACAAGAAUAAAAGGUGAUUUCUUUAGCAGAAUCUUUUUUUU